rnacentral:other from 1 species
ACUCAGAACAUCGAGGCUAACAUCAGGAUGAUGUACUCAUGGAACGAGUGGAACCCAUCGGGAUGAUGAUGCAGGGACAGGCUUCACAGAUGAAGCAAGGACACCUCAGGGAGAGGUAAGGGACACCUCCAGGAUGGAGAAUGUGAACCGCACAGGAAGGCGGUGGUUACGGAUAUUAAAGGAUUACCGCCAGGACGGCAUCGCUCAGGAUAGCGCAGGAAAAGUUUUCAAGGAUGAGCAGGGAGCAUUAAGGUAGCAGGAUAGCUGCAAACGAACCGGGAGCACUGUUUUACAGUGCUCCCUUUUUUUAUG